rnacentral:lncRNA from 10 species
CCUUAAUACAACUUUGCUUUCAUAUUUAAAUGAAAAUGGGGGGGUGGAUUUUUGUCUGAGAUUUUAACAAUAUCUUUUCCUUCCACAGAUAACAAGAUCUUAAUUUCGCUUGUAGUUUAUAGCUGUAUGAAUAGGUAAAAGGGGAUUCUUACUCGGAUGCAAAACUCAGAACAUGACCAAAGACUAAUUUUCUAGGUUGUACAGGAAAACAAAAACCACACAUACAGGCUAAUAAUGACUGAUCUCAGAGCAUAUGAAUUGAAUGACUCUGAUUCUCAAACUUUCAGUUGCCUGAAUUGAGAGGCCUUUUCUUAUUCUUGCAUCACUUCAUAUUAAGCCCUUCUGAAGUUCCUUCCUAACUUGAAGCAGCACCCUCUUUAUGGAAAAAUACAGUUCUCAAUGAAGGUAAGUAUGGCAACUAUGAUCUCUGUUAGAACAGCCCAACAAAUGCUCAAAGCUCACGUACAGGAGAGGGCAGGUUUGCCUGACCACACUGGGUGAGCAGCAGAAUUAAAAGCCAAGCCUGAACCAGGGGUGGUGACUCAUGCCUGCAAUCCCAGCACUUUGGGAGGCUGAGACAAGUGGAUCCUUUGAGGUCAGGAGUUCAAGACCAGCCUGGGCAACAUGAGGAAACUCUGUCUCUACUAAAAAUACAAAAAUUAGCUGGGCGUUGUGGCAGGUGCCUGUAAUCCCAGCUACUCGGGAGGCUGAGGCAGGAGAAUCGCUUGAACCCGGGAGGUGGAGGUUGCAGUGAACAUAGAUUUCGGCACUGAUCUCCAGUCUGGGUGACAGAGCCCGAUUCCAUCUCAAAAAAAAAAAAAAAAAAAAAAAAUGUCCAGCCUGAGCCUGCGGGAUAACAUACUUUUCUUUCUUGCCUACAGAAUUUGUAUUACAUAUGAUUAUUAUAUUUUUCUCAUACAAAGACAUUGUUCAUAAUAAACUGUACCAAAUUUUAAAGAGAAAUAUUCUACAUGAGAUCAUUAAGAUCCUGACUAUAAACUGUGAAUAAGAAACCAGAAAACACCAGUGGCAGUGGCUAACACCUGUAAUCCCACCACUUUGGGGGGCCGAGGUGGGCGGAUCACCUGAGGUUGAGAGUUCGAGACCAGCCUGACCA